rnacentral:lncRNA from 1 species
UCAUAGACAUGGACUAGUCCCAACGCUAGACCCUUAGGGACCUCUCUCGCUAGAUCAUGUUGUAUGAUUAUCAUUUCAUCUCAUGCAUAUUUUCACUUUUUUAGGGUUUUACCAUGUUGCAUGACACUUUUCUUAUAUAUGUACAUCCCCUAUCCCGUAUUCCCUCUUAUAUACAUAUCCCUUAUUUAUAUUCUCUUUUAUCAAUCCUAUGCAUGGUACAUAACAUUAGAUUUGUAUUUCAUUUAAGAAUUAGAAUUAGGGUAGCACAUUGCUUGAUUAGAUUAGGAAAAAUCCUUGGAUAUGGAUAUGACGAGUUUGGCUUUUCUAACCUUAGCACGCUUGUAUUCCCUCUAUUAAAGGGAACAUUGAAAGCCAACGAACAUUAGUCCCCCGUACCCGACAUGACGCAUUCCUUUAGGUCAUACACAUUUGUAUAUUAUUAUUUCUUUACUUUUUCUUUCGAGUCUCAUGACUUGCAUUAUUCGUGACUUCUUCGAAGAGUCUUUAUUGGACGUCACAAUUAAUGUGAUUGGUACCAAAUAAGAUUUGAAGAUACAUUUUGACCCCCCGAUACCCUCCUAGGUCUAGGGUUCGCAUUCAUAUAGUACAUUCCAAAUGUGAUAAAUUCUUUGGUUAAAACAAGAAAAUCUUUGACUAAAUCACGCAACUAGCCUUGGCUAGGUCAAAGGGGUGCCUUGGAUUUCAUCCUUGCCUUCCCCUUCGUCAAAUGUGACUCCCGAACCUUUUUUUCGAUUUACGUAGACUAGCAGUCGUUUAAAAGGGGUUUUUCCACUUUUCCCUUUGAAAACUCAUUUUAGGUGACUUGGUACACCUUAACUCUAUACCAAGUGGCGACUCCAUUUUUCAUUCGAUAAACCCUUUUUAAACUAUAUUUUGGGUCAAAUCGUUGCAUUUUCAUGUCUCAUUUAGACCCAUAUUUUUCCAUUUUCUUUUUCAAAUAAAAAUUCACUGUUUUUUAAACAUUUAUUUUUUCUUAUAAAAAAUGGGCGCGACAAAGAUAUUGGGGUGGUCUUCCAGAUCAACACGUAUUGCCAAUACUUGAGAGAGUUCUUUAGUAUCUCUUUGUAUCUUUCCUGACUAUGGGAUACCAGGGAAAAGCUAUUUUUGUGGUACUAGAAAAUAUGACAAAUAGAAUAGUGUGACUUGGGGAUCAUAACCUUAUUUAUAGAUAACAAUUCUCUUACCCUUGGAUCCCUAUUUCAGUCCAUCAUAGAAAUAGACAAUAUCUUUAAGUCUCUACACAUUAAAGAUCAAUACCCUAUUAGAUACAUUAAGUCCAAACCAUAUUUGAUCACUUUAAUUGGACUUAACCUUAUAUGACAGUUUGCAACUCAUAAUUAUUCACAUAUAAGUCAGCGUUGGAUUAAGAUCCAACAUACUGCUCUUUGCAAAUGUUUUGCAUGCAAGACUUGCAUGAUUUCCAUUCUCCAUGGGGAAUCCAGAUAAGUUCUGUUGAUGCAAAAACUGCUUAAAUAAGCCGAUGGUGGGAGUCAUAUCAGCUAAAGGAUUGUAAAUGCACAACUACCAAAUGAUUAUCAAGAAUUUGGUUAAUUGGCAAUCAAUGAUCUUUCACAAAAUUUACCAUUCCAGUUUAGUGAUCAUCAUCCUUGAAUUUCUUUUGAGAUUUGAAAAGUCAUUAAUCCAAGGUUAAUGAAGAUUUGUUCAUGAGAAAUUAGUUGGUUAUCAAUAAUAGUAUCAAUAAAAGCAAACAAACCUGUGGUAUUGGAAUCAAAAUUCUUUAUCACCACAACAGAACACACGCGUACAUCCAAUAAUCAUGACUGGAAAAAAAAAACCCAAAUACUUGAGAAACUAAACAAAUUUGUACUUACUUAGGGCUGAUAUGUUGACUUGGGACAAAAUUUGUUUCUCUGAUUCAGUCCUGUAGUUCCCAAGGAACGUUAUAUAUGGCGACUACAAUCUGCAGUUUCUGCAGAGUUUGGAAUUUUAAUUUUAAACAUUAAUCUCUUUUG